GGAUACAUUUACGAGAAAUCUCAUUCAGUUAGAUACUGUAGAUUAAGACGGGACGCCAAAAGAAUUGAUUGCCGAGCUGUAUGAGGGAGGAAACUCAUAUGUACGGUUUAUAUUUGAGAAUGUAAGCCCAACAAUCUAUUGGCAUAGGGGUAAACAUGGGUAGGCUCAUAUGUGGGAGAUACAUAUUUCUCCAUGCUUAUUAGGCUCGAACUUGCAUAUUGGGUACUGGGUAGAAAUGCAUUGACCCCAACACCACCCCCCCUCCUCCCAAAUUUUGGCCCCUACUUCAAUUGCAACAUGCAAAUUGCAGGCUUUUUCUUUUUUAUGUUGGUUACAAAAAUUUAAGCUGCAAAACAGUCUUUAAGCUCCAACACUAUUUUGGUGGUCACUAAUCAGUCUAUUUUUAUUGUUUUGCAUUUUCCUGUCAGAUGAAUGAGCUUGAAGGUGACGUUGAAAGGAGAACAUUGACCUAUACCUUGUGGAACCAGUCCACAACAGACAUGGAAGGGAAUGCUUGGCAUCCUAUGACUUUUAACUAUUCAAAUGCAUGCCCUCAACAAAUCAGAGAAAUAAAGGAAAUCAAUCACGUGUACUAUGAGACUGAGUACCGAACAGAGUGGUGUCAAACCAAUUCUACAUUUGUCCCCUGCUUCCUCUUUGCAAGGAAGUUUUCACGGGGUGCUGCUAUGCGCAUUUUGACCCAGGGAUUGGUGGGUUCCUUCGACGCUACUGCAAUGCUAAAUGUUACCUUGUGAGUGUCCUUGGUGCACUAAUGCUCUUCUUUUAACAAUAGACAUGACCAUCUGCUUAUGUAGUUUAUUGCAGAGUGACUAGUGAGUAGUGAGGCACCUAUCAGAGGCUUAUAGGAAUUUUACAUUUAAAUGAUGUAUACUGAACAGUUUUUGACUCUGCUGACCAAAAAUAGUUGCAAUAUGUGGCAGUGGCUGUUCAACUCUUCCUAUUCACUAAAAGAGGAAGUAACUGUUAUCAAAGAAAACACAUUUACGAAACUCAUGGAAAUACUAGGUUGCUCAGGUGACUUGAUUGUUUGAUAAUACUA